CGGGAAGUGGUCAGCUGGUGAUUUUAAGACGUGAUCAGCUACUAAAUGGAUGAAGUGAUCUGCUACAAAAUGCCAUCCAAUGUGAGAAUCUAGGGUAAGAGUCCUGUACGACAGAAUUGUAAAAAUGAAUAGCAGAACUAGGUUUGCUAGAGCCAUGGAAGAGAUUCUGCUCUAAUGGGAGCAUGCCUAGGUGUUCCUGAGCGGAGAGGAAGCGGAGUAGGUUCCGCUUUCUCCGACUCCUCUUUGUCUCCGACUACAAAGAAUAAACCGCUCAAGGAGGAGAAAAUUAAAUGGAAGUCGGACAUUCCACUGACGGAGUUCCAAUUGACCCGUAAAAGAAAUGAGUUCUGGGACACCGCUCCAGCUUUUGAAGGAAAAUCUGAGGUCUGGGCAGCCCUUAAGGCUGCAACUGAUGCUGUAAGUAAAGACGACUAUUCCCUGGCUCAGGCAAUCCUAGAUGGAGCGGGCAUAUCAUUACCUGGAGGUUCUCUAGUAGAAUGCUAUGAUGAGCUAGGUACUAGGUACUCUAUACCUAUUUACUGUUUAUCUUGGCCAGCGAAUCUCAUCUCAGCAACAGACAGGGACAGUCCUGCUGAGUUUUCUGAACCUGUGAUAAUAGAUCCUGUGGAGCUAAAGGUUAAGGUUCGGAUAAGUUUGACAGGGUUGGAUGUGAAACUGAACCUGAACUCUACUGACACUAUUUCUGCUGCGAAGAAGAAGCUUGCUGAGCAGGAGGAAUUACCAAAUGAUUCUCGACAGCGUUGGUACUACGGGGGUAAACUCCUCGGAGACAGAACCAGGAUUGGUGAAGCCAAUAUUCCUCCGAAUCAUCUUAUUCAAUGUAUCGUCAAUAUUUUGGAGUUUGAUAUUAUUCAAACUCAGUGAAAAUAAUAUUUGUCUCAGAUCAAAAGAACGGAUAGGGUCGGGAGAUUUACUAACUAUGUUGAAGAUAUGAAAACUGCACUCGGUUCUGAAUGUUGUAAAAUAUACUGUUCAAAUUGAAAUUGAUGUGUCAAAUUAUACCUUAUUCUUGUCUAACCCUAGUCAGUAGCCAGUCAAACUCAUUAAUUUGGGACACACCGCAGGGUUUUGAAUACAUUUAACACUAAUUUAAAAAGUUCUAAAUGGAUAAAGCACUUAUCAAAUAGAUAAAACACUAAUCUAAACAGUUCUAUAUAGAUAAAGCACUAAUCUUAACAGUUCUGAAUAGAUUAAACAUGCACCAAUCUAAACAGUUCUGAAUAGAUAAAACACUAAUCUAAGCAGUUCUAUAUAGAUAAAACACUAAUCUUAACAGUUCUGAAUAGUAAAAAUACCAAUCUUAGCAGUUCUGAAUAGAUUAAACAUGCACCAAUCUAAACAGUUCUGAAUAGAUAAAACACUAAUCUAAACAGUUCUAUAUAGAUAAAGCACUAAUCUUAACAGUUCUGAAUAGUAAAAAUACCAAUCUCAGCAGUUCUGAAUAGAUAAAACACUAAUCUAAACAGUUCUGAAUUGAUAAAACACUAAUCUAAACAGUUCUGAAUAGAUUAAACACUGAUCUAAACUGUUCUGAAUAGAUUAAACACGGAUUAAAACGGUUCUGAAUAGAUUAAACUCUGAUCAAAGCUGUUGAUUAAACACGUAUUUUAAAUCAAAUGUUAUUUAAUGUUUCAAGUUAUUGUACACUAAAAGUAUAGAAAUAUAUAGUUAACGUAAA
rnacentral:misc_RNA from 1 species